CGCCAGACUCCUACGGGAGGCAGCAGUGGGGGAUAUUGCACAAUGGGGGAAACCCUGAUGCAGCGACGCCGCGUGGGUGAAGAAGCGCCUCGGCGCGUAAAGCCCUGUCAGCAGGGAAGAAAAUGACGGUACCUGAAGAAGAAGCCCCGGCUAACUACGUGCCAGCAGCCGCGGUAAUACGUAGGGGGCAAGCGUUAUCCGGAUUUACUGGGUGUAAAGGGGGCGCAGACGGCGAUGCAAGCCAGGAGUGGAAGCCCGGGGCCCAACCCCGGGACUGCUCUUGGAACUGCGUGGCUGGAGUGCAGGAGGGGCAGGCGGAAUUCCUAGUGUAGCGGUGAAAUGCGUAGAUAUUAGGAGGAACACCAGUGGCGAAGGCGGCUUUCUGGACUGUAACUGACGUUGAGGCACGAAAGUGUGGGGAGCAAACAGGAUUAGAUACCCUCGUA
rnacentral:rRNA from 1 species